CUGGAGUCCAAUCAAUGAGAUGAGAUUGGAGGUGUUGGUUACAGCUGCCCUGCCCUAUAAAAAACACACACCAGUUCUGGGUUUGAUUUUCACAAGAAGCAUUGCCUGAUGUGAAUGAUGCCUCGCACAAAAGAGCGCUCAGAAGACCUACGAUUAAGAAUUGUUGACUUGCAUAAAGCUGGAAAGGGUUAUAAAAGUAUCUCCAAAAG